UACGGGGGGGGCAAGCGUUGUUCGGAAUUACUGGGCGUAAAGGGCGCGUAGGCGGCCUUCUAAGUCGGACGUGAAAUCCCUCGGCUCAACCGAGGAACUGCGUCUGAUACUGGAAGGCUUGAAUCCGGGAGAGGGAUGUGGAAUUCCAGGUGUAGCGGUGAAAUGCGUAGAUAUCUGGAGGAACACCGGUGGCGAAGGCGGCAUCCUGGACCGACACUGACACUGAGGAGCGAAAGCCAGGGGAGCAAACGGG
rnacentral:rRNA from 1 species